UCAAGCGAAUAAGCGCACAUGGUGGAUGCCUUGGCGGUCAGAGGCGAUGAAGGACGUGGUAGCCUGCGAAAAGUGUCGGGGAGCUGGCAACAAGCUUUGAUCCGGCAAUAUCCGAAUGGGGGAACCCACUGUUUAGGCAGUAUCUUUGAGUAAAUUCAUAGCUCAAGGAGGCGAACCUGGUGAACUGAAAUAUCUAAGUAACCAGAGGAAAAGAAAUCAACAGAGAUUCCCUGAGUAGUGACGAGCGAACGGGGAUUAGCCCUUAAGCUAGUAUGGUUUUAGGAAAGCAAUCUGGAAAGGUUGGCCAUAGAAGGUGAUAGCCCUGUAUCCGAAAGGGCCGUACUAGUGAAGAUGAGUAGGACGGGGCACGUGAAACCUUGUCUGAAUAUGGGGGGGUCCAUCCUCCAAGGCUAAAUACUCCUGACCGACCGAUAGUGAACUAGUACCGUGAGGGAAAGGCGAAAAGAACCCCGGAGAGGGGAGUGAAAUAGAACCUGAAACCAUGUGCGUACAAGCAGUAGGAGCCCUUAUGGGUGACUGCGUACCUUUUGUAUAAUGGGUCAGCGACUUACUGUUCGUGGCGAGCUUAACCGUAUAGGGGAGGCGAAGGGAAACCGAGUCUGAUAAGGGCGCAUAGUCGCGGGCAGUAGACCCGAAACCGGGUGAUCUAGUCAUGUCCAGGGUGAAGGUGCUGUAACAGGUACUGGAGGCCCGAACCCACUCCCGUUGCAAAGGUAGGGGAUGAGGCGUGAUUAGGAGUGAAAAGCUAAUCGAACCCGGAGAUAGCUGGUUCUCCUCGAAAGCUAUUUAGGUAGCGCCUCAUAUGUAUCCUCUCGGGGGUAGAGCACUGUUAUGGCUAGGGGGUCAUCGCGACUUGCCAAACCAUUGCAAACUCCGAAUACCGAGAAGGACUGUAUGGGAGACACACGGCGGGUGCUAACGUCCGUCGUGAAAAGGGAAACAACCCAGACCCACAGCUAAGGUCCCAAAUUCAUAGCUAAGUGGAAAACGAUGUGGAAAGGCAUAGACAGCCAGGAGGUUGGCUUAGAAGCAGCCAUCCUUUAAAGAAAGCGUAAUAGCUCACUGGUCGAGUCGGUCUGCGCGGAAGAUUUAACGGGGCUAAGCUAUGAACCGAAGCUUGGGGUGCAUAUUUUUAUAUGCGCGGUAGAGGAGCGUUCCGUAAGCCUGUGAAGGUGAGUUGAGAAGCUUGCUGGAGGUAUCGGAAGUGCGAAUGCUGACAUGAGUAACGAUAAUAUGGGUGAAAAACCCAUACGCCGAAAGCCUAAGGUUUCCUUGCGCAACGUUAAUCGGCGCAGGGUUAGUCGGCCCCUAAGGCGAGGGCGAAAGCCGUAGUCGAUGGGAAGCAGGUUAAUAUUCCUGCACCUCGCGUGAGUGCGAUGGAGGGACGGAGAAGGCUAGGUGUACCGGGCGUUGGUUGUCCCGGGGAAAGGAGGUAGGCUGGUUCCUUAGGAAAAUCCGGGGGUCCUUUUAAAGCCGAGCACCGAGACGAGUCUUUUUAGAUGAAGUCACUGAUGCCACGCUUCCAGGAAAAGCUUCUAAGCUUCAGCUCACGAAGACCGUACCGUAAACCGACACAGGUAGGUAGGAUGAGAAUUCUCAGGCGCUUGAGAGAACUCGGGUGAAGGAACUAGGCAACAUGGCACCGUAACUUCGGGAGAAGGUGCACCCUUUUUGGUGGCGCGUGCGCGUUAUAGCUGAAGAGGGUCGCAGAAACCAGGCCGCUGCGACUGUUUAUCAAAAACACAGCAC
rnacentral:rRNA from 1 species